ACGGGUGAGUAACACGUAGGUAACCUGCCUUUAAGACUGGGAUAACUAUCGGAAACGAUAGCUAAGGCCGGAUAACUGGUUUUCUCGCAUGAGAGAAUCAUAAAACACGGAGCAAUCUGUGGCUUGAAGAUGGGCCUGCGGCGCAUUAGCUAGUUGGUGAGGUAACGGCUCACCAAGGCGACGAUGCGUAGCCGACCUGAGAGGGUGAACGGCCACACUGGGACUGAGACACGGCCCAGACUCCUACGGGAGGCAGCAGUAGGGAAUCUUCCGCAAUGGACGCAAGUCUGACGGAGCAACGCCGCGUGAGUGAUGAAGGUUUUCGGAUCGUAAAGCUCUGUUGCCCUAGACGAACAGCAAGGAGAGUAACUGCUCUUUGUGUGACGGUAUAGGAGAAGAAAGCCCCGGCUAACUACGUGCCAGCAGCCGCGGUAAUACGUAGGGGGCAAGCGUUGUCCGGAAUUAUUGGGCGUAAAGCGCGCGCAGGCGGUCAUUUAAGUCUGGUGUUUAAUCCUGGGGCUCAACCCCAGUUCGCAUCGGAAACUGGAUGACUUGAGUGUAGGAGAGGAAAGUGGAAUUCCACGUGUA
rnacentral:rRNA from 1 species